UACGUAGGGUGCAAGCGUUAAUCGGAAUUACUGGGCGUAAAGCGUGCGCAGGCGGUUUUGUAAGUCUGUCGUGAAAUCCCCGGGCUCAACCUGGGAAUUGCGAUGGAGACUGCAAGGCUAGAAUCUGGCAGAGGGGGUAGAAUUCCACGUGUAGCAGUGAAAUGCGUAGAGAUGUGGAGGAACACCGAUGGCGAAGGCAGCCCCUGGGUCAAGAUUGA
rnacentral:rRNA from 1 species